UACGUAGGCAGCAAGCGUUGUUCGGAGUUACUGGGCGUAAAGGGUGCGUAGGUGGUCUUAUAAGUAUGGUGUGAAAUCUCCCGGCUUAACUGGGAGGGUGCGCUAUAGACUGUGGGACUAGAGUGUGGGAGAGGAAAGUGGAAUUCCUGGUGUAGCGGUGAAAUGCGUAGAUAUCAGGAGGAACACCGGUGGUGUAAACGGCUUUCUGGACCAUAACUGACGCUGAGGCACGAAAGCGUGGGUAGCAAACAGG
rnacentral:rRNA from 1 species